CAGUCGACGAGAGAAAGAAGCUUGCUUUUCUGAUCUAGUGGCGGACGGGUGAGUAACACGUGAGCAAUCUGCCUUUCAGAGGGGGAUACCGAUUGGAAACGAUCGUUAAUACCGCAUAACAUAAUUGAACCGCAUGAUUUGAUUAUCAAAGAUUUAUCGCUGAAAGAUGAGCUCGCGUCUGAUUAGCUAGUUGGUAAGGUAACGGCUUACCAAGGCGACGAUCAGUAGCCGGACUGAGAGGUUGAUCGGCCACAUUGGGACUGAGACACGGCCCAGACUCCUACGGGAGGCAGCAGUGGGGAAUAUUACACAAUGGAGGAAACUCUGAUGCAGCGAUGCCGCGUGAGGGAAGAAGGUUUUAGGAUUGUAAACCUCUGUCUUCGGGGACGAAAAAAGACGGUACCUGAGGAGGAAGCUCCGGCUAACUACGUGCCAGCAGCCGCGGUAAUACGUAGGGAGCGAGCGUUGUCCGGAAUUACUGGGUGUAAAGGGAGCGUAGGCGGGAUCGCAAGUCAGAUGUGAAAACUAUGGGCUUAACCCAUAAACUGCAUUUGAAACUGUGGUUCUUGAGUGAAGUAGAGGUAAGCGGAAUUCCUAGUGUAGCGGUGAAAUGCGUAGAUAUUAGGAGGAACAUCAGUGGCGAAGGCGGCUUACUGGGCUUUAACUGACGCUGAGGCUCGAAAGCGUGGGGAGCAAACAGGAUUAGAUACCCUGGUAGUCCACGCCGUAAACGAUGAUUACUAGGUGUGGGGGGACUGACCCC
rnacentral:rRNA from 1 species